AAGAGAAAAUUUUUAACAGGGAACACCGGAGAAUGCCAGGUGGCCGAAGAACUUGAAACAUGGGUUGAGAGAUGUUUUACCGCAUCUCCAAACACCAAGACGUCAAAAGCAGGAGUGCUUUUAUUUUUCAGAAAAUAUGCAGAAGAAAAUCACCUACCGUAUCAUUCUAAGUCGGCGGCUACGUCGAUCGGAAUGCUUUUUAAGCACCGGUUUAACGCCAGCGGCCGCACCGCCAUCGGGGUCAGCACUGGAAUAUAUCGGUCUGGAGUCGGGCUGACAGAAUUUGGAAAAACGGAAUUUCAACGACUUACAUUAGCGCCGCUAGAGACAAU